ACCUUAGUGGGAGACUAGGUUGGAGUUAAGUGGGAGGCCUGCUCUGCAGUUCAAGUAGGAGACUUGAACAUAUCCCUUUCUACUUCUCUUCUUUUCUUUUCUUUCUCUUAUUUUUUCCCC